rnacentral:rRNA from 1 species
AGAGCGAACGCUGGCGGCAGGCCUAACACAUGCAAGUCGAACGGAUCCUUCGGGAUUAGUGGCGGACGGGUGAGUAACACGUGGGAACGUGCCUUUUGGUUCGGAACAACUCAGGGAAACUUGAGCUAAUACCGAAUGUGCCCUUCGGGGGAAAGAUUUAUCGCCAUUAGAGCGGCCCGCGUCUGAUUAGCUAGUUGGUAGGGUAAAGGCCUACCAAGGCUACGAUCAGUAGCUGGUCUGAGAGGAUGAUCAGCCACAUUGGGACUGAGACACGGCCCAAACUCCUACGGGAGGCAGCAGUGGGGAAUCUUGCGCAAUGGGCGAAAGCCUGACGCAGCCAUGCCGCGUGAAUGAUGAAGGUCUUAGGAUUGUAAAAUUCUUUCGACCGGGGAAGAUAAUGACUGUACCGGAGAAGAAGCUCCGGCUAACUUCGCGCCAGCAGCCGC